CAGUAACGUCAAGACCCAAGGUUAUUAACCUUGGGCUUUUCUUCCUGGUUGAAAGGGCUUUACAACCCGCGAGCCUUCUUCACCCACGCGGCAUUGCUGGAUCAGGCUUUCGCCCAUUGUCCAAUACUCCCCA
rnacentral:rRNA from 1 species